AAUAUCAACUUUUUCAGUGGUGCUCUUGCGAGCUUAAAAGGGAAUCCUGUUUAAUUCAGGAACGGACCCGCCGCCGUGAGUCCUAUACAAUUGAACCCCGUAGCCGAUUUUAAUUCGGCUUAGCGUGUCACUGAAAUCUAUUUCGGGAAGGCCGGGUAAGAUGGGACAAGUCGGAAGACCUGCCAACACUGAUAUAUAUGC
rnacentral:ncRNA from 2 species